GGGCAGCGUAUGGCCCUGGCCACUCUGCAGCGUCCCCAGCCAGCAUCCACCAGCACCGGACCUGGUGUGGAGGAGAUUCCCCCAGGGAAGGCAGGAAGAGGAGCCUGAACUUGAGGAGGAGGGGCAGGUGACGAGAUGGGAAACAGAAAGAUGCAGGGGUUCCCAGCUCUUCUCUGUACAUGACUAGAACUGUCCCGCCCCACAUGGUCACCAGACAGCGAGCCCCUUUGAGGCCGACACGAACGUGACCAGACACGUGCAAUAAGGGCUGCUCGUGGUGAAUUCCGAGGACGGCCCGGCAGGUGUUGGACACGCUGGGCCUCACCUCCCAAAACUCCGGGUGCCUCAGCGACACCGUGCAGGUGCCUUCGUGCAGAGAGCCGGACGGGACAUUCCCUCGCCCAGCUCCAGGAGUCCUCAGAAGCGAGGGGUUUCCUGCCUCCUCUCCUCCUGCCCAGGUGGUUUUCUCUGAGUCGCUGGGAGCAAAGUUUGCAGCUCGGUGGACGGACGAGCUCAUAUAAAGCAAAGUUCUUGGAUAAAAGGCCUCGAAGAGGCGUGGCCACCUGUCACCUCCCCUCCCCCCUCAUCCAGAGCCGGGGCUGCUGUUAGCAAAGAAGUCCCACACGUGGGAAUAGAGGGACAAGCAGGUCAAUGGAACAGAAUUAGAUACCCUCCCCCCUCCCCAAGACUGGACAUUUAGCGACAAUUGGCGACAUCUCAGCCUCUGACAGAAAGGUGGAGUUUUUAAGAUGUGGUGUUCAGACAACCAGAUGGGCGUUUGGAGAAACACGAAAUUAUACAUAGGUCUAAAACUGCAGCGGUGAUGGAUUGAAACAUUUUGUGAAUAUUUUGAAAACUCGGGAACUGCAUACGCUUGAAGGGUGAAUGUCGUGGUAUGUGAAUUAUAUCUCAGUAAAAAUACUUUUUAAAAUGGAGGACCGCCCCCCGCCCCAAGUGUACUGACGUCUGCAACUUUGAAAUGCAUUGAAAAGUUAGAUGAAUUCGCGGAUGGAUAGAGGGAUGCAUACAGUGGAUAGAAACACAGUAAGACAAUGGGGCGCCUGGGUGGCUCCGCCGGUUCAGCGGCCGACUUCGGCUCAGGUCAUGAUCUCGCGGUCCGUGAGUUCGAGCCCCGCGUCAAGUUCUGUGCUGACAGCUCAGAGCCAAGAGC